rnacentral:misc_RNA from 1 species
GAUGAAGAACGUAGCGAAAUGCGAUAAGUAGUGUGAAUUGCAGAAUUCAGUGAAUCAUCGAAUCUUUGAACGCACAUCGCGCCCCUUGGUAUUCCAUGGGGCAUGCCUGUUCGAGCGUCAUUUGUACCUUCAAGCUCUGCUUGGUGUUGGGUGUUUGUCUCGCCUCUGCGUGUAGACUCGCCUCAAAACAAUUGGCAGCCGGCGUAUUGAUUUCGGAGCGCAGUACAUCUCGCGCUUUGCACUCAUAACGACGACGCCCAAAAGUACAUUUUUACACUCUUGACCUCGGAUCAGGUAGGGAUACCCGCUGAACUUAAGCAUAUCAAUAAGCGGAGGA